AUCUGGUUGAUCCUGCCAGUAGUCAUAUGCUUGUCUAAAAGAUUAAGCCAUGCAAGUGCGAGUGAUUCGGAGCAUCACUCUUUGUAAAAGGAGGGGGAAGGCUCAGGAUGACUGCGAAAGGCUCAUUAAAACAGUUAUGGAUCUGGAUGGUCAGAAGAAAACGGAGAGGAUAAGGGUGUGAAAAUAGAGCUAAAACGAGGGAGGGGGAUCUUGAUUCGUUUAAUAGAUGAAGAAGGGAUUUCUAGAAUUUCAUAGAGAUAUGAGAGGGAGCAUGUGAAUAUUUGACCUAUCAACUGGGGAUGGUAGUAUAGGGGACUACGAUGGUGGUGACGGGUGACGGAGGAUCAGGGUUUGAAACCGGAGAGGGGGCCUGAGAGAUGGCCACCACUUCUAAGGAAGGCAGCAGGCGCGAAAAUUACCCAAUGUUGGAACAGUGAGGUAGUGACAAGGAAUAACUGUGGAGAAGCCAAUAGGUUUUUCAAUGGUAAUGGAAGGAGGUUAGAGAGGUUCUUGAGUAACGCUCAGAGGGAAAGUCUGGUGCCAGCAG
rnacentral:rRNA from 14 species